rnacentral:rRNA from 1 species
AAUAUUAGUCAAUGCUCGAAAGAGUGAACUAGCUAACUGAAAUCAAUAAUAAUAAUUGAUAACAUAAGGGAAAAUAAUGAUAUUACCUUAUUAUUAGUGUCGUCCAAAAUUGGUGCCAGAAGACUCGGUAAGGCCAAAGACACAAACGUUAAUCGUCUUAAUCAGGCGUAAAGGGUUUGUAGGCGGCUUUAAAAUUUACUUAAAACACAAAAUAUUAAUAAGUAAAGAAUAAAAGCUAGAAUCAAAUAGAGGAUAUAUGAAAUAAUGCUUAGAGUAGGUCUGAUAUCCUUAGAUACUAAGUAGAAUAUUAAAGGCGAAAGCUUUUUUCCAUUAAUGAUUGACGCUCAGAAACGAAGGUGAGGAUAGGAAAUAGGAUUUGAUACCCAGAAUACCCCUCUCUGUCAACGAUGAAUGGUAGUUAUUAAUAAAAAAAAUUAUUAAUUGCAAUGUUAACACGAUAACCAUUCCGCCUUGUGAGUACAACUGCAAAGUUGAAAACAAAAAAAUUAGUCGGUUUCGGAGCAAACGAAGUGAAGCAUGUUAUUUAAUUCGAUAAUCCGC